rnacentral:rRNA from 1 species
GACGAACCGUGCGAACGUUGUUCGGAAUCACUGGGCUUAAAGGGCGCGUAGGCGGACCCGCCAGUCAGGGGUGAAAUCCCACGGCUCAACCGUGGCAGUGCCUUUGAUACUGCGGGUCUCGAGGGAGGUAGGGGCGUGCGGAACUUCCGGUGGAGCGGUGAAAUGCGUUGAUAUCGACAGGAACUCCGGUGGCGAAGGCGAGGUGCUGGACCCCUUCUGACGCUGAGGCGCGAAAGCCAGGGGAGCGAACGGG